ensembl:snRNA Rnu2-24 RNA, U2 small nuclear 24
AUCGCUUCUCGGCCUUUUGGCUAAGAUCAAGUGUAGUAUCUGUUCAAAUUAGUCUGAGUGCCACUAACAGAUGAAUGAAUAAAGACAAAACAUGGCACAUAAACAUAAUGGAAAAUCUUC